GCGGCCUUAGCUCAGCGGAUAGAGCAGCGAGUUUCUACCUCGUAGGUCGAGGGUUCGAAUCCUUCAGGCCGCGCCA
rnacentral:tRNA from 1 species